rnacentral:lncRNA from 1 species
AGUAACAAAAACUGCGGUACAACCACGAUUUUAAAUAUAUACAUGAAUAGAAACUUAAUUUUGUCAUGGAUCUAAUUUAACAUCUCCUGUUACUGUGUGUAUAAUCAUACCAUAAGAUUUAGAACAUCUUAGCAUGAUUUAGAAGCAAGAAAAAUGAUUGUGUCGAAGUAACAAACCCACCAAAAAAAAGAUCAUAUGGAUAGGUAAGGAAAUUAUCAUAUCUAACAAUUGGCAACACGAAAGUUUAUGUCAUGAAGAACAUAUAGAAGCAUCAAGUUGACACCGAAGCUAUCCAAAGGAACAUCAAUGCCAGCCUUUUAUUUGAAAAUUAGCAUGAGGAAACCAUCACAUGCACAAAACAGCACUUCACCUGUCCUGUGCAGGAUUGUAAACACCAUGAGAGCAAAGAGCAGCAUUGAAGGAAUCGAGAGGGAGUCUGCAGCAAAGGGAGAAGAUUUUGCCAUUGGGCAAAGAAGAUGAUAAGAUAGCACGAAUAAUAAGAGGUGGAGAUUUG